CACGGUGGCACAGUGACACGGUGGCACAGCACCACAGGGCAGCCAGCAGCUCACCAGAGCCCAGCUCCACCAAGCAAAACCAGGAUAUUUCUGCAGCAUUGGAGAAAAUUAAUGGACUGAUAAUAGAAGAAAUCUCCAGGUUUGGGGACUGGGAGGUUGAAGUGCCAAUCCUUGCUGGGCAACCCGAGAGCAGCUGGCAAGAGCCUUGCACAGAGCCUGUGUGACCCACUCUGAGCUGUCAGUCAGGAGCAAGAUGAGGGCUUCACUGGCAACGUGUUCUCAUCUCUCUCGAUGAGCAGCGCUAAAAUAGGAGACAGUAAAGGAUUGGUCCUGUCUGUUGGUGAGACUUCUCAGAAUCAGAGAUGUUUGGAUUCAAAUUCCAGCCUUUUAUUCCUGUCUAAGCCCCUCUGCUGCACAGACUGCAGUGAGCUACAGCUGCCAAGUUGUUUCUCGUGCUGUCACUACAGCAGUGGUGACACUUUGGUCUCAGCCCGACCUUGCAGCCUCACCUAAAGCAGCACAACACUCCUGGGGAUUCCUGCAGGCACAGAGCUUUGCCGUGCUGACAAACAUCAGCAGGCUGAAGUGGCACAGGAGCUCCAAGGAGCACCAGGAGCCACCAGCAAUGCCCCACCAGGCUGGUUGA